GGGUCCGUAGCUCAGCCUGGUAGAGCACUUGCCUCUUAAGCAAGGAGUCAGGGGUUCAAAUCCCCCCGGGCUCAC
rnacentral:tRNA from 1 species